rnacentral:rRNA from 1 species
UACAGAGGGUGCGAGCGUUAAUCGGAAUUACUGGGCGUAAAGCGCACGUAGGCGGCUUGGUAUGUCGGGUGUGAAAUCCCCGGGCUCAACCUGGGAACUGCAUCCGAAACUGCCUUACUAGAGUAUGGGAGAGGGAAGUGGAAUUUCCGGUGUAGCGGUGAAAUGCGUAGAUAUCGGAAGGAACAUCAGUGGCGAAGGCGACUUCCUGGACCAAUACUGACGCUCAGGUGCGAAAGCGUGGGGAGCAAACAGG